ensembl:lncRNA
CCCGUCCAACAUUUCUCUGUGAGCCGCGGACGCGUCGACCGCUGACAUGAGCGUCUCUGGGAUCCACCGCGGCGUGCUCAGGAUGUACGGUGAGUGGAUCCUCUUCUUCACCCAGCAAUCAUCUACGCCGCCGUGGUGACAUUUUGUGGUCCAAAAUGACUGGCUCUCUUCUUCUGCACUUCUCAGUGGAUUCUACGGGGAAACAUCGGUUAACCGUCGUGCUUUUAGCUUAUCCCGUUUAUAUUGGAUCCUACCACAACAACAAAAAUGAACUUGAAUUUGAUUCUGCAGCGUGAAGGUGAUGAUAGUGAAUAAUCGUUAAUGAGGAUGAUACCUUUAUUUUGCGUCUUAGUUUUGAGCUAAACUCUGAAUAUGAAAAGAAUCUAAAUGAGAUUCUCGUAUGAUUAAAAAAACAUUUUAUUAAUAAAAUGAAUAUAGUGCAUUAUGGAAAUUAGGUAAAAAACAAUGACUGACACAAACAAAAAAAUACAUAUAAAUGAAAGCCAAAUAUGUUUCCCCCGUUUUGACGUAAUCCAUUUACUCUUAUGUUUUAUGCUUUAAUAACGAGUUUGUGUUCCUAUAGAUUCAGAUGUGUACAUUUUAUGAUGAUGCUAUCGUCUACACAUCGUCUGCUUGGUCCAGCCCCACAUCCAACAUCCCCCUGGAUCCACCAACCAUCUGACCGCCCCUAAUCUGUGGGAAUGAUACGAUGACAGACUGUGUUUAAUCCAGUGCUUCUGCUGCCAUCAUCACCACUGUGCACAUGUUUUCCCUGUCAACAGGCCGUGGGUGCUACUUUCCAUUCAUCAGUAUUUCCUGUUCUUUCCAACCUGAUUUUGUUAUACAGGUGGAUUUAUUUUCAAACAGUGGAAAAAGAGGUUUCUCCUCCUGACGGCCGAGGGAAGCCUCCUCGUGUGUCACGAUGCCGCGUCGCCCCCUGACCAGCUGGUGCUGUUGCAGAACAGUUGUGAGGCAAUUGUGGAAGGCAAGGAGAUCCUGGACCUGCCCAGGUUACCUGCUGGCGGAUGCAGGGAAUGCUGCUUCGCCCUGAUCCUUCCCCAGAGUAAAUACCUACUGCUGCUGGCUGAAACCGCUGCAGACUGCAGUCAAUGGCUGAAUAUACUGAAAAAAGUGAAAAAGAGCCUCUCGUCACCUAUCAGUCCAUGUAAACGACAUCGGCUGCUACCCCCACACAUUAAACUCCAAGAUCUGGUGCCUGAGCAAAUCCUGGACAAGGACCCACCGACUCCACCGCUCUGCAACGCAGAAGCAGACUCCCCGGGGCCGACGGCUUGUGCUUCCCUCAGGGAGAAAGGCCGGAAUUCUCCCCUCACGAAGCAAUACAAAGGUGGUGCACACCCAGCAGGGUGUCUGCGCCACGGCACCAUCGGUAAUGCCGACGCAGUGAAGGCGGUUUAUCUGCUGAUGGGCGGUGCCGCUGCCUCCUCUGCUCUGGGUUACCUGGGCGCAUGCUCGCUCCCUAAUCUGGAAGCCAAAGCUCCUGACCUGCCACUCAACACGGAUUUCCCUGGCAUGGGAGCAACAGGAGUGUACAACGGCGCAGGGCCCGCACUCGACUCCGCUCACUGUAACAGCUUUGACUUUGAAGUGGCAGACUCUGAUUUUGAUGGUUUUGAUUGUGGUGGAUUUAGUUUCUGAUGAUGUACUGGAGACGCAAUGGAUGCAGGUAGUUUUAAUAAUGGUGUAAAAGUAUGUGAAGCGUCAUCAUGAUUAGUCAGAAUGAGUAACCAUAGGACGGCCUCCAAUUCAAUAUGUUUUUUCAGGACAAAGAUGCUAUGAAAUGAAAUUUUCUGCAGAAAUAACUGUGUUUACAACCUGUGUUGGUUUCUGUAGCUAGUUUCCCCAUCAACAACAACUGUAUAUAUUUCCUUUUACAUAUCCAACCCAUUUAGAUUUUAUUUAAAAAACUUGUUUUGUUGGUUCCUUCUCAGGUUGCUCUCUGCUUACUGUCUCCAGAAUGUUAUUGUUGACGUCGAAGACUAUGUCCAUAUAUUUAAAAAGUCCGUGCAUCAACUUCCCUCCCCGGGAUAACUGAGAACCCAAACCGUGAUCAACAAUCUAAAGCCCUAUUUGCACGUCACCAGUAAUUCCUGGUGACCUCUACGAUUUGUAAGAUUACAGAGGUUGUCUGUAAUCUUGCUCCUGUGCAAAUCUGUCAUGUAAAAGUAAAAAUUACACUGCAAUUAUCUUAAAUUGUCCAAUGAAGUCCAAUCAUGUAAUUUCAAGAAUGCUAAAUAUAAAAUGUUUAGUUUCAGUUAAAAUCUGUUUCUGUACAAAUUGACGUCCAAAGGCAUCAUCCACUUUUUUGUCCUUACGUGUUCCAUUCAAAUAUCUAGUUGUUGCUGUGGUUUCUAUCUAAAUUAGGUUGAAAACGGAUUCACAUGUAUGUCCAUUGAGCUCAUUUCACUUACAUAAAUAAAAUCGAUGUUUGGAAAUUGUCAGUUCUACUUGUUUUCCCAAA